AAGUCAUGAUGAGGGCACUGCUUUUGUAGACUCUUGAAUCUAAUGCAUGCUUCAAAUAAUUAUUCUCCAUCUGCUUGAGCAAAAUUUAUGAUGUAAUUCAUCAUGU